rnacentral:rRNA from 1 species
GGCUAAAACAGUCAGGAUGUUGGCUUAGAAGCAGCCAUCAUUUAAAGAAAGCGUAAUAGCUCACUGAUCGAGUCGUCCUGCGCGGAAGAUGUAACGGGGCUAAGCCAGUCACCGAAGCUGCGGAUAUAUGCUUGCAUAUAUGGUAGGAGAGCGUUCUGUAAGCCUGCGAAGGUGUCUUGUAAAGGAUGCUGGAGGUAUCAGAAGUGCGAAUGCUGACAUGAGUAGCGAUAAUGGGAGUGAAAAGCUCCCACGCCGUAAGCCCAAGGUUUCCUGUUCAACGUUCAUCGGAGCAGGGUGAGUCGGCCCCUAAGGCGAGGCAGAGAUGCGUAGCUGAUGGGAAGCAGGUUAAUAUUCCUGCACCGUCGUAUGAUGCGAUGGGGGGACGGAUCGCGGAAGGUUGUCCAACGGUUGGAAGUGUUGGUUUUUGACUCAUAGAAGGCGCUUAGGCAAAUCCGGGCGCGGAAUUCAAGGGGUUGAGACGAGGAACUUAGGUUCUGAAGCAAUCGGAAGUGGUUCCAAGAAAAGCCUCUAAGCUUCAGUCAUACGAGACCGUACCGCAAACCGACACAGGUGGGCGAGAUGAGUAUUCUAAGGCGCUUGAGAGAACUCGGGAGAAGGAACU